UUGUUUCACGGUUUCAAGCAACACGUUCAAAGAAUAACGGCCGUUUGAGUCUGAAAAACCCCAUACGGAUUGACCAUGCAAUGCAUGCGUCCAGCAGGAUGCACAGCCAACAACUAUGGUUUGCAUGACCUGACGAAUGACCCUAUAAUGCAGAAUAGGUGGUUGGAGUUUGUUGGUCCCCAGUAGUGAUAAAGUGCACAGUUGGGUGCCAGACUGAUCCCCUGGUCAGGAACGGAUGCCGGGACCUACCAGGAGGAGCAGAAUGCGCAAUGGGACAAGGACAUCCCUGCCGGCCAAACCCUCCUCUAACCCGAACAACGCUGGACCUAGAUGACUUCAUCAACAACGACAGCCCAACAUGCAGCGUAGAGAAGACCAGCACGUUGAGCAUUCCCAUGAACAUAACAUACAGCCACAUGUUGCCAAGUAUCCGGCCAGCAACCUUCAUCUAUCAGUAGCAACAGCUUUCACAGGCUCAUCAUUUGUACAAAUACAGAAGAAACAUGUAUGGAGCCAGCAAAUGGAGACAUGCAAGAUGAUGUGAUGAAGUCCAGACUGACAGAAGGGCUUGAUACUAUCACAUUUCAGAAGACGCAAGGCAGACAGUGUCGAAGUAACAAAAGUUUAUUACUAGAACAGGGCAGGCAAAACGACAGGUCAAGGGCAGGAAGAGGUCAGUAAAUCCAGAUCAGAGUCCAUAAGGUACAGAACAGCAGGCAGUCUCGGGGGCAGGGCAGAAAGAGGUCAAUAAUCCAGGGUGGUGUGACAAGGUACAGAAUAGCAGGCAGGGUCAGGGAAGGCAGAAUGGUAAAAACCGGGAACAUUAGAAAACGAACUAGAAAAAGACAGGAGCAAGGAGUGAACCGGAGGUACAAACAAAAUGAACUGGCAACAGACAAACAAAGAACACAGGUAUAAAUACACAGGGGAUAAUGGGGAAGAUGCUCGACACUUGGAGGGGGUGGAGACAAGCACAAAGACAGGUGAAACAGAUCAGGGUGUGACAGAUACUGACGUCGUUGAAUGGAGAGAGACCUGGCAUUCGGUAUAAACAUUUGACUAGACACAACUUUUACUUGUAUUGCCUUUUUUUAUUAUUGAAUUGAAUGGUGUCAUUCAAUAUCGGGAGGGAGAAACUGCACCAUGAUCAGGGAACUCCUGUUGUAUAUGGGACACAACACAGGAAGGUAUGACGUCUCUGACAUGUUUGCCAAGGUACAGUGCCUUCAGAAAGUAUUUACACCACUUUACUUUUUUCUAAUUUUGUUGUAUUACAGCCUGGAUUGAAAAUGUAUUCAUUUGAGAUUUGUUUUGUCACUGGCCUACACACAAU